rnacentral:rRNA from 1 species
UACGAAGGGGGCUAGCGUUGCUCGGAAUUACUGGGCGUAAAGGGCGCGUAGGCGGAUAUUUAAGUCGGGGGUGAAAGCCCAGGGCUCAACUCUGGAAUUGCCUUCGAUACUGGAUAUCUUGAGUUCGGGAGAGGUGAGUGGAAUGCCGAGUGUAGAGGUGAAAUUCGUAGAUAUUCGGCGGAACACCAGUGGCGAAGGCGACUCACUGGCCCGAUACUGACGCUGAGGCGCGAAAGCGUGGGGAGCAAACAGG